rnacentral:rRNA from 1 species
CCUACGGGAGGCAGCAGUGGGGAAUCUUGCGCAAUGGGCGAAAGCCUGACGCAGCCAUGCCGCGUGUAUGAUGAAGGUCUUAGGAUUGUAAAAUACUUUCACCGGUGAAGAUAAUGACUGUAGCCGGAGAAGAGGCCCCGGCUAACUUCGUGCCAGCAGCCGCGGUAAUACGAAGGGGGCUAGCGUUUGCUCGGAAUUACUGGGCGUAAAGGGAGCGUAGGCGGUACAUUUAAGCCAGAGGUGAAAUCCCGGAGCUUAACUUCGGAACUGCCUUUGAUACUGGGUGUCUUGAGUGUGAGAGAGGUAUGUGGAACUCCGAGUGUAGAGGUGAAAUUCGUAGAUAUUCGGAAGAACACCAGUGGCGAAGGCGACAUACUGGCUCAUUACUGACGCUGAGGCUCGAAAGCGUGGGGAGCAAACAGGAUUAGAUACCCUGGUAGUCCACGCCGUAAACGAUGAUUG